rnacentral:lncRNA from 1 species
AAGAGGCGGGGCGCCAUCCCGGUCCCACGCUACUCUUGUGUGGGGAUGGAGCCGGGGGCUGCCAGGAGAUCAGCCACUGGAGGGCGACAUGAUCCCAGUCACACAGGCGAAGUUCUAAGCCUGGUAAAUCGGGCAGCACGCAGCCAGCAAGCACCGCCAGUCAGCAGAGGAAUUUCUGCAUAAAGUCACUGGAGUGAAAUUCCUAGGGACACCGACGAAAGAGGAUGUGCUCUGAAAAAUCCUGAUUAUCUCCUAGUUAGACUGCUAUCCCCUUAGAUAUCCUGGAGAGCGAAGUCCCUUCUCAGUGGGGAAGCUCAUGAAAAAAUGGAUUGGCCGGAGAACCUGACCAUCACAUGGGACUGCCCAGGAAGCCAGAAGUCAUGAAAGGCUCUUACGUGCCAGCAGGAGACGAUGAAAAGGAACAACCAUCACAGCACAGAAUGCACAGACAGGAGGUGAGAGUGACAGGGACUUCUGAAGAGGCCCUUUGUGUGAUUCCCAUAGAAGAGCCCAGA